AGAAAUCAGCUGAAGAUGUAAAAGCAGACAAUGAAAACGAAUCAAGUGACGUUAAACAAGGACUUCUUGGGAGAAUAUCCGGUAGUGUUUUUAACACAACAAAGUAUGCCGCGGGGACAGCUUAUGGUGGAGUCACGUGGGUAGCUGGUGGGGUGCUCUCUACUACUGGAAGUGCCAUUGGAGCAACUUAUAACACUGUGUCUUCGUACUCACCCAUAACUAUAUUCAGGAAAGAAUCCAAAAGUAAAUCAGAUUGAUAUCAGUAUUUAUUUGAUGACUAACAUUGGCAUCAAUGUGAACUUGUAUUAAUAUUAAGAGAGUCUAUCUUCUCCAGGAUUUAUUUGGGUGCACAUAAUACAGGCAAUAUUAUUUACAAAAAAGUUUUCCCAAAUGGUCACAUGAAAUAUUGUAACGAUUUCGACAGCAGGCCUUCAUUGAUAAGUUUAUUAGUUAAGGCUCACAGGUCGAAUCCUUUGCUAUUGUACGUUCCGCAAACACUAAAACAACUAAUAUUAAGCGUGGGAAAAUAUUAUCGUUGAUAAUAUAAUAUUAAAUGUGAAAAGAACUUUCAAAGGGAGGACAAAGUGUCGUAAUAUUGUAAAUCGGGUCCAUGUUUAGAAGGACAAUUUGGGAAUGCACUAGUACAGGAAUAACCUGUGACCUAUAGCGAUCUUACAUAGGAUGGUAACGGAAUGACCUCCACCAAAAUAAACUUCUUAAAAUAAAUGGUAUUAAAAAUUCUUUGACUGUUU